UACACCUUUGCCUCGCUCUUUUCUUCUAUCUUCUCCUUUUUCCUUUUCACCUCCUAGUCUGCAUUUCAACAUUCCAGCUUUUCCUCGCUCACUUUAUUUUGUAAUUAAGGCAGUCAGAGGGUCAGGCAGAGGCUUUCUUCACCUCCCUCCCGCUGACGGGCAAAUGAGUAACACACUUCCUCGGCUCCUAGUCUGGAACCUACGCACGCACCUAUUCCUGCACACCUGUCCGCUGCGCAGCCUCCUCAUCGAGCGGCUAAUCCCCUCUGAGCCAGGUGGUCGAGCCUAUUAAGAUAACCGAGGGAGAUAAACAUACGAUAAGGGAAGGUACCGGCCAAAACAUUAACAUGUCGGCGGAUAUUAGAAGGAGUUGCCCCUAAUGGCCACCACGCCGGUCUGUGUCGUCACGGCCAGAUGAAGAGGAAGAGGAAAAGAUGACCACCGGAUAAGCCUCGGUGACCCCCGCCGCAGACAGGCUGAGACGGGGAUUUUUUUGUGCCCGGGAGAUCAAAGGAACAUCACGAAAUAUGUAUCAUCGCGGCCUUACAUAAAAUGGAGAAGAAGUGAACAGAAGAGAGAAAGAAGAGCAUCAAGAGUCAGAGGAGGAGAAGUAAGAAGUGGGAGGAGCAAGAACAAGAGCUGCAGCAGCGAGGAGGAGGAAGAGAAUGUGGGUGGUGGUGAGUCUGCACUGAUCACUAUCUCGGGUCACACGCCAGCAUCAGCCUCUCCCGUCACCCGAGACCUACCCGACACGAUGCUUUAAUUAAGAGAAGGCGAGCAAAUCGGCGAGCAAAUCGGUCCGGACAUGUACGAGAGGCAAAUUUGCCAAUGAAUAUGUU